AGGGUUAUAGUUAAUUAUAACAUUUGAUUUGCAUUCAAAAAGUAUUGAACUACUCAAUUUUCCUUA
rnacentral:tRNA from 1 species